rnacentral:rRNA from 1 species
CAGUCGCCGCGGUAAUACGUAGGUGGCAAGCGUUGUCCGGGAUUAUUGGGCGUAAAGGGCCCGCAGGCGGUUUCUUAAGUCUGUUGUGAAAGCCCCCGGCUCAACCGGGGAGGGUCAUUGGAAACUGGGAAACUUGAGUGCAGAAGAGGAGAGUGGAAUUCCACGUGUAGCGGUGAAAUGCGUAGAGAUGUGGAGGAACACCAGUGGCGAAGGCGACUCUCUGGUCUGUAACUGACGCUGAGGAGCGAAAGCGUGGGGAGCGAACAGGAUUAGAUACCCCUGUAGUCCCUGUCUCUUAUAC